rnacentral:sRNA from 1 species
GCGGGGUUGGAGCGAGCAUUUACUAGAUCCUCUUAUCAAGAGACGAUUCGAUCAUGGCCAAAGGGACAGUACGUAGGUACAUCUACAUUCCUCUGUUUUGCUCCAUGCUUGGAGCCCUGGAGUACAUCGAUCGGCAUUCUGCAACAGUUCGGUUUUCGCAACGUUUACAACCUGUUGUCUCACGAAGUACAUACGUUGGUUGACAUCCAACCAGGAAGUGGGCCACAUGGUAAACCGAGGUUAGGUUUUUGGAUGAAGCUGAAUUGUUUCCCCAAGAUCUGUUCCUGAGUUGGUUUUCCCGAGAAGAUGCUCACACUCCGUGGAAGAAAAACAAUCUCGUUAAUGUGGUAUAUAAACUGUGUAUCUAGGUAAUAAAUAUCCAAGCCUCCUCCCUCCCAGGCUGUGACUGUUUGACCUACUCUCUGAUCUAGCCAGGUGAAACCAGCUUAGCAGCAGAUAUAAUAGGGAUGCCUAGGCACGUUUAGCAGCAUCGUACAAUCUCCUGAGAUGAGUCAGAAAUUGUCGUUGCAUAUGCACACGCCAGCCCGAAACUGUGGAGGGCAUACAUGCCCCAAAAAUCAUCAAAUGCGCGACCCUGAACUCGAAGCCGCUGCAUGCGUGCGUCUAUGAAUGUGCAGCAUACGGAUUCCGCGCGAUCGAUUUGUUAAGGAAGAUAAGGUGACUAGCCUAUGUGCGCAAAAUGUAUCUUAACAGCACGCGAUAGCAGAAUGAAAAUAAUCCCAUUAUUCAUUCCACAUCAAGGGAAA